GCACAUGGCUGCUUCCGACGGUGUUCUUCCACGGGAAGCAAUCAUUAGCAUAUGGAUAAUUCUCCUCCUCCAAUGUCCAGUCUACCAUAUGCAUAUCAGAUGAAUUUUGUUCAGCGUUGACGCCUACAUGUUGGAUCUCAUGUCCAUACAUGAUGCUUCAUAAUGGCCCAGAUGAGUUAGACUCGCUCUUUCCUUUUUCCAGUCUCUUUAAAGUGUUG
rnacentral:lncRNA from 1 species